UACGGAGGGGGCGAGCGUUGUUCGGAAUUACUGGGCGUAAAGCGCGCGUAGGCGGUCAGGUAAGUCGAAUGUGAAAGCCCUCGGCUCAACCGAGGAACUGCGUCCGAUACUGCUUGGCUUGAGUCCGGUAGGGGAUGGCAGAAUUCCCGGUGUAGCGGUGGAAUGCGUAGAUAUCGGGAGGAAUACCGAUGGCGUAGGCGGCCAUCUGGGCCGGAACUGACGCUGAUGCGCGAAAGCUAGGGGAG
rnacentral:rRNA from 1 species